UGGGCACCAUUUUUCCCCUUUUAUAUCAGGCAAAGAAACAGGCAAGGCGGCAACAGAUGCUGCUGCCUCUGGUCUCUCUCCCGGUCUCCUCAGAUGCCCUCUGCCGCCGCUGCCGCCGUUUUAUUAUUACAAUCAUGUAGAAAGGAGAGAAAGUGAGAAGGGGAAUUUGUCAGAAUUUUCAUUUUGCUGACAGUGAAUUUCUGAGUCUUAAAAGAGUGCAAGAAUGGUACCCAUAAGGAACUUUUAUUGCAAUCUCUGAUGCCAGGAUUUUGAUUGUUAUAUAAUAAUAAUAAAAUCAAAACAAAG
rnacentral:lncRNA from 1 species